UACAGAGACUGCAAGCGUUAUUCGGAUUCACUGGGCGUAAAGGGUGCGCAGGCGGCCGUGUGUGUGAGGCGUGAAAGCCCGGGGCUCAACCCCGGAAUUGCACCUCAAACUACAUGGCUAGAGCAUUGGAGAGGGAAGCGGAAUUCACGGUGUAGCAGUGAAAUGCGUAGAUAUCGUGAGGAACACCAGUGGCGAAGGCGGCCGGCUGGGGGUGACCUGACGCUGAGGCGCGAAAGCGUGGGGAGCGAACCGG
rnacentral:rRNA from 1 species